AACUGGACCAAGUUUUGGGCCGCUACCACAUACGUGUUAUUGUACACAUCUUCCAUGCCCUCCUUGAUCGUUUUUGAACUUUCUCCAAGAUUUCAGCUCUGAAAGCCAUAAAACUCUUCUGUAAUUUUAUCCAUGAUUUUUCUUCGUACUUAUUUCUCUAAGUGUUUGAAAGAAUUGUUUCCCCAACUAGAUUACUGCCAUCACCAACGUCCUCAUCACUGACGAGGCUUACAUCAACGACCAUCUCACUCAUCGAACUCGUUGCCUCACUCAGAUAAGAAUUCCAUGUCCUUGAGGAAGAGCUCUAGGAAUUGGGUUGACUCAUCCAGGUCAGAAACGAGUGAAGAAAAGAACCCUAGGAACCGAAUCAACUCAUCUAUGUCAGAGAUCAGUGACAAAGAGCCCUAGGAACUCAGUCUUUUCCCCCAAAUUUUUAAUCUCCAAAGAAAGAGCCCUAGGAACUUUGAUGUAUAUUGUUUGAAUGUUCCUUAAGUAUCCACUUCGCUGGAUAUUCUUUUGUUUUUUGGAUGCGGUCCUCUUAAGAAUAAGAAGUCAUGGUUUUGUUCUUUUGGUUUACCUCUUUUAGGGUAUAAGAAUCCUCUUCAAUGCCUUGUCUUGAUUUACGAAAUACCUCGUCCUGAGUAUGAGUUUUCGGGUGUAGAUGAUCUUACGCCAGAUUCUGUUGUCUAUGCUGGAGGCAUUGCCAUCAUUUCACCAUCAGGGAUUGUUCUGGCUAGACCCAAUUAUGAUAGGGAGGCACUCAUCUAAACAGAUCUUGGCCUUUUGGCUUUUGGACAACUCGCUACUCGAGGAUUUUCAGGGUGAUCCACAAAGCAUUGUCAAAAUUGGUGAAGGUACUUACAGUGAAACUUUCAGGGCUGGUAAAAUUGUCUGCAAAAUGGUUCCAAUUGAUGGAGAAUUACUAGUGAACAAGGAAUUACAAAAGAUGUUUAGUUAUUUUACCUUAGUUGCAUCUUUUUUUUUUCCCAGUUAUUUUUUAGUGUGAGAAGUUAUUUAGAGGUGGGGGAGGAAGGUUUGUCAAGUUUCUGUGGCACAAUUGUUUUCUCAAUAUAGUUUGUGGUUUUAUGUGUGCCUAAGCAGUUAGGUGAUGCUGAACUAGCUUCCAUUCAGCAGGACACUUAUUAGGUUGCAGGGUACAUGCAUAUGUUAACUUCCAUUCAGGAGUGUUAAAGCAUGGACAGUCGAUCAUGCUUUGAGUGUCUUAGUGCCUAGUUUUGAAGAAAAUCCUAUCUCCCAGGCACCUACCAUUAUCAGCUUUUGCUUGUUAGUUACUUUGUAUAGAAUACAGUUCACCUUUUGCUCAUCCAGUUCACAUCCUUUGUGUUUAUACAAUAUGUUUCUUUACAGAAUUUAAAGUUGAUAAGCAAAUAUUGGAAGAUACUUUUUGCAGAGCUA